rnacentral:rRNA from 1 species
GAUGAACGCUGGCGGCGUGCCUAAUACAUGCAAGUCGAGCGAACAGACGAGGAGCUUGCUCCUCUGACGUUAGCGGCGGACGGGUGAGUAACACGUGGAUAACCUACCUAUAAGACUGGGAUAACUUCGGGAAACCGGAGCUAAUACCGGAUAAUAUAUUGAACCGCAUGGUUCAAUAGUGAAAGACGGUUUUGCUGUCACUUAUAGAUGGAUCCGCGCCGCAUUAGCUAGUUGGUAAGGUAACGGCUUACCAUGGCAACGAUGCGUAGCCGACCUGAGAGGGUGAGGGGCAACACGGGAACGGGGCCCGGGCCAGGCCCCCAACGGGAGGCGCAAGAGGGAAUUCGCCGGAAUGGGGGAAAGCCCGGAGGGACCAACGCCGCGGGGGGGAGGAAGGUCUCGGGAUCUAAAAACUUUUUUAUGGGGAAAAAAAAAUGGGGAAAGAAACAAUGCGCGUCUGGAGGGUCCCUAACAAAAAAGCCAGGGCAAACUAGGUC